rnacentral:rRNA from 1 species
GACGAACGCUGGCGGCGUGCCUAACACAUGCAAGUCGAACGGAAAGGCGCUGCUUUUGUGGGGUGCUCGAUUGGGGAACGGGUGUGUAACACGUGAGUAACCCGCCCCUGACUUUGGGAGAACUUCAGGAAAAUGGGGAUAAUACCGGAUAGGAGCUCCUGCUGCACGGUGGGGGUUGGAAAGUGUCGGCGGUGGGGGAUGGACUCGCGGGUUAUCAGCUGGUUGGUGGGGUAGUGGCUUACCAAGGCUUUGACGGGUAGCCGGCCUGGGAGUGUGACCGGCGACCUUAGGCCUGAGAUACGCAGCAGACUGCUACGGGCGGCAGCAGUGGGGAAUAUUACGCAAUGAGCGGGCGCCUGAUGCAGAAGCGCCGCGUGCGUGAUGACGGCCUUCGGGUUGUAAACCGCUUUCGACUGUGCCGAAGCGUGAGUGACGGUAAUGAGUAAAAAAGCACCGGCUAACUACGUG